rnacentral:tRNA from 1 species
CGAUUUGGCUCAGCGGUAGAGCAACUGAUUUGUAAUCAGUAGGUCGGGGGUUCAAAUCCCUCAAUCGGC